AUGAGAUGAUCGCAGCGGCUGUUUGUGUUUCCCUGCUUUCUUCAGUGAUGAGUUUGCGACCUCAGAAUAUAUUUAGAGAGAUAUUGAUUUGGUAAGAGUACGGUGUGAAGAAACAAGAGGUCCACAUGAGGUAUUCAAAACUCACGGAGGGGCGAACUUUCUCGCUGCAAAAGGUCAACAAAGGCUUUCAGAGGGAGGAAAUGCCGAACUCGCCCUUUUGGUGCCGAUGACGGUGUUGCUCCUGUUCAGAUGAGACUCAAAGCAAGAUCGAUCACUUUUUGUGGAUCAAGUUUUUGUUCUACCUAUGAAGACAUCGUUUGAGUUCACAUGCCAUUUGUGCAAAGAAAUACAAGGGACAAAACUUGUUGAGUGCAAUGAAGGAGUGAUUGAUUUACCAGAAUGCCAAGUUGUUUGCUGCAGCAUACAAGAGGCUGAGUUAAGAAAAAGAAACUUGAAGAUUCCUCUAAAUUUCCAGGAACAGGCUAGAUUUGUGGAGUGCUUGGGAUAUUGUUGUCACAUGCAAAAAGUGACCAGUCUUUGCCACAAAGGCAAGUAGCUCUUUCAAAGUUGCCAUUGGCCUCUUGGGAGCCUCUCUGAUCAGACUCCUCCUUGCUUGGUCA
rnacentral:lncRNA from 1 species